rnacentral:rRNA from 1 species
GACGGGGCCCGCACAAGCGGCGGAGCAUGCGGAUUAAUUCGAUGCAACGCGAAGAACCUUACAAGGCUUGACAUACACCGGUAACGCCCAGAGAUGGGUGCCCCCUUGUGGUCGGUGUACAGGUGGUGCAUGGUUGUCGUCAGCUCGUGUCGUGAGAUGUUGGGUUAAGUCCCGCAACGAGCGCAACCCUCGUCCUAUGUUGCCAGCGGGUCAUGCCGGGGACUCAUGGGAGACUGCCGGGGUCAACUCGGAGGAAGGUGGGAUGACGUCAAAUCAUCAUGCCCCUUAUGUCUUGGGCUUCACGCAUGCUACAAUGGCCGGUACAAAGGGCUGCGAUACCGCGAGGUGGAGCGAAUCCCAGAAAGCCAGUCUCAGUUCGGAUUGGGGUCUGCAACUCGACCCCAUGAAGUCGGAGUCGCUAGUAAUCGCAGAUCAGCAACGCUGCGGUGAAUACGUUCCCGGGCCUU